rnacentral:rRNA from 1 species
GCCCUAUUACCCAAAGCAUCCGCCCGAGUACUACAAGCAUAAGCUUAAAACUCAAAGGACUUGGCGGUGUCUCAGACCCACCUAGAGGAGCCUGUUCUAGAACCGAUAACCCCCGUUAAACCUCACCACCCCUUGUUUUCCCCGCCUAUAUACCGCCGUCGUCAGCUUACCCUGUGAAGGACAAACAGUAAGCAAAAUGGAUAAAACCCGAAACGUCAGGCCGAGGUGUAGCGAACGAGGUGGGAAGAAAUGGGCUACAUUUUCUAUCAUAGAAUAUUCACGAACGGCACCCUGAAAUAUAUGCCUGAAGGUGGAUUUAGUAGUAAAAAGAAAAUAGAG